CCCCUAUUAACCCCUGAUAUACCCACAUCCCCCCCAGUUUCCCUCUGAUCUCCCUAUAUCCCCUAUAUAUUUCCCCCUAUAUCCCCCCCUAACUUCCCCCACAUCCCCUUAGAUGUCUGUAUUCCUUUCUUCAUUCAGCUCAGGCAAUGCCAAGCCUGUUUUAUUCCAUUCCCCCAUAAAGUAGCUGCAUUUGAGUAUUUCCAUAUUUUUCACCGUGCCUCUUACAUUUAUUUGCUUUAAGCUGUUCCCAUCCAAAAGCUCGGAGCACACGGGCAAAACCAUUCAUUGCUUCCACUCUGAACAAGAACCGAAAUCCUCACCCUCUGAAACUGCUCUGAUUGACUGCGAUGAAACAAAGCGUAUUGCCUAAAGAAACCAUUGUCUGUUUUCCUGCAGCUUAGAUGACAAGCCUGGCAUGGUCAGCAGGCAGCAAGCGCUCUGGGAGUCGUGGUUUGCAUGAGUUUGUGAGGAGAUGACACAAAGCUAGAGCAUAGAAAGCUGCACAGAUCCCAAAACACCCUUAGGAUUCAACCAUUAAUCCUUCUGUGUUGUUUUCUGUUCUAUUCCUGUGGAGUUUCUCUCUCAUUUUCAUCGACUUCCCUGUGAGAAUGAUGUGAUUUGAAGGUCAGCUUUUCUACAGACCCACUUGUGCUAGAAGAAAUUCUGUGUGCCACUGCAAAGUGAGGCUGGGAUUCCUCAGUGUUCACCAGCACAGGGAAGAACUUAUUUUCCAAGAUCUUGGUGAGAUAUUAAACAGGAAGAAAACUGUACAUCAGGCCAACAAAUGUCUGUACUUCCUACCAAAGAAACUUAGGAACUCUGCACUCUCACUUCAUAACAGCCACUAUGAAGAGGAUUAUAGAUUGAAU
rnacentral:lncRNA from 1 species